UAGCAAACUACGCUCAGACCCGGGAGA
rnacentral:sRNA from 1 species